rnacentral:rRNA from 1 species
GACGAACGCUGGCGGCGUGCCUAAUACAUGCAAGUUGAGCGCAGAAGGGUGGUACUUGUACCAACGGGAUGAGCAGCGAACGGGUGAGUAACGCGUGGGGAAUCUGCCUUUGAGCGGGGGACAACAUCGGGAAACGAAUGCUAAUACCGGAUAAAAACUUUAAACACAAGGUUUAAGAGUGAAAGAUGCAAUUGCAGCACUCAAUGAAGAUAUCGCGUUGUAUUAGCUAGUUUGGUAGGGUAAGGGCCAACAAGGCGAUGGUACAUAGCCGGACUGGGAGGGUGGUCCGCCACAAUGGGACUGGGAACCCGCCCAAACCCCUUAGGGAGGCAACCGUAGGGGAUCUUCGGCCAUGGACGAAAGGCUUGACGGGCAAAGCCGGGUGAGUGAAGAAGGUUUUCGGGUCGUUAAACUCUGUUUGUUGGGAAGAAACUUGUGGGGAGGGGACAGCUCACAAAGUGACGGUAACUACCCAGAAAGAGACGGCUAACUACGUG